rnacentral:rRNA from 1 species
GACGAACGCUGGCGGCGUGCUUAACACAUGCAAGUCGAACGCUGAAGCACCAGCUUGCUGGUGUGGAUGAGUGGCGAACGGGUGAGUAAUACGUGAGUAACCUGCCCUUGACUCUGGGAUAAGCCCGGGAAACUGGGUCUAAUACUGGAUGCUACAUGUCACCGCAUGGUGGUGUGUGGAAAGGGUUUACUGGUCUUGGAUGGGCUCACGGCCUAUCAGCUUGUUGGUGAGGUAAUGGCUCACCAAGGCGACGACGGGUAGCCGGCCUGAGAGGGUGACCGGCCACACUGGGACUGAGACACGGCCCAGACUCCUACGGGAGGCAGCAGUGGGGAAGAUUGCACAAUGGGCGAAAGCCUGAUGCAGCGGCGCCGCGUGAGGGAUGACGGCCUUCGGGUUGUAAACCUCUUUCAGCAGGGAAGAAGCCACAAGUGACUGUACCUGCAGAAGAAGCGCCGGCUAACUACGUG